rnacentral:misc_RNA from 1 species
AAGUCGCAACAAGGUUUCCGUAGAAGGAUCAUUAACACGUAUCCAACGUUAAAAACACCCCUGUGAACCCGUUAAUCUUGCUCCUCACGCCCUGCACGCCUAGCACAUUGUCUGAACAGAUUUUGAGUCAGGGACUUCUGACGUGACGCGAAGAAUGGUAAUGACUGCGUGGGAUGUUUGCGUAGCAAAUCACUUGGCUCCCCAAGCAACCAUGUUUCUAAAAGCGGCUCAUGGAAGCGUCAGGAGACGCUGUAACGUUUUGCUGGCAAUCCAAGUGGUUGUACUUCGGUACCCCUACAUCGGUAACUCCGAUGAAAUGUCAAUUUCAAGAAUGGACUAAAAGCCUCGCACCAAAAACCGAACAACUGUUAACAAUGGAUAUCUUGGUUCUC